GCCGAGAAGGGCACGAAAUGUCCGAAAAGAGAACACCUCGAAGGUAAUUAAUCCAAUGUUCCCAUUGCGGGGGCCUCUCCUGACCCCAUUUUUCUCCUUCCGGAGCGCUCCGCAGACCGCUGGCAAGGGAGGGCGCGCCAAGCCAGAGCCCAAGGCGCCCUCCAAGAACGCGCGCUACUUGGAAUCCCCCUCCCGGAAACCCGCAAAGCUGGAAAGCACCUCAUCUCAGCCCCUCAUUGCACCAAUAAGGAAGUAGGUCCCAGCGAAAAGAGGCGGCAGGGGCGGAACACACGAGCGACAGAGCUACCGAUCAGUCCUUGAAAGAUGGGAAAGAGCACUGAUAAUCGCAGAAACAAAAGUGAUCCUUCACCAAAGGUGGCUUGAGAAGCACAGAGGCCUCAUCAGUAGCCUAAGAACAAUGAACGGAAGAGACAUAUGCGGCCCAAUAACAGGAAAUACACUCUGGGACUUCCCUGGUGGUGCAAUGGUUAAGAAUCCGCCUGCCAAUGCAGGGGACACCAGUUCGAUCCCUGGUCCGGGAAGAUCCCACAUGUCACGGAGCAACUAAGCCUGUGCGCCACAACUACUGAAGCCUGCGCACCUAGUACCUGUGCUCUGCAACAAGAGAAGCCACCGCAAUGAGAAGCCCAUGCACCACAACGAAGAGUAGCCCCUGUUCACUGCAACUAGAGAAAGCCCACGUGCAGCAACGAAGACCCAACACAGCCAAAAAUAAAAAUAAAUAAAUUAAUUAAAAAAAAAAAUUGUUAAAAAAAAUCACACACACACAGAAAAAGGUAAUACACUCUGAAACAUUUAGGGGUAAAGGGGCAUAAUGUCUGCAACUUCCUCUCAAAUGAUCAUAUGUAUAUGUUUAUAUAUAAAAUUAUACAUAAUACAUAAUAUACAUAUUAUUAGAUGUGCAUGAUUAUGGAGCAAAUAAGGGCAAUAAGGCAAAAUGUUAACAAUUGAUGAAUUAGGUAAAGGGCAUAUAGCAAUUCUUAUAUGAAAAUAAAAAGUUAUUUAAAAAAUAAAUA